rnacentral:rRNA from 1 species
GACGAACGCUGGCGGCGUGUCUAAUACAUGCAAGUCGAGCGGAAUGAUGAAGAAGCUUGCUUCUUCUGAUUUUAGCGGCGGACGGGUGAGUAACACGUGGGCAACCUACCUUGUAGAUUGGGAUAACUCCGGGAAACCGGGGCUAAUACCGAAUAAUCCAUUUUGCUUCAUGGCGAGAUGUUGAAAGACGGUUUCGGCUGUCACUACAAGAUGGGCCCGCGGCGCAUUAGCUAGUUGGUAGGGUAAUGGCCUACCAAGGCGACGAUGCGUAGCCGACCUGAGAGGGUGGUCGGCCACACUGGGACUGAGACACGGCCCAGACUCCUACGGGAGGCAGCAGUAGGGAAUCUUCCACAAUGGACGAAAGUCUGAUGGAGCAACGCCGCGUGAGUGAAGAAGGUUUUCGGAUCGUAAAACUCUGUUGUAAGGGAAGAACACGUACGAGAGUAACUGCUCGUACCUUGACGGUACCUUAUUAGAAAGCCACGGCUAACUACGUG